AUUUAACAACUUUUUAUAGACUUUUCAACAUAUUCGGUUUUGCUUUUAUUUGUAUUGAAGAUCUUUUUAUAAUAUUUGAAUUAUGGUUUGAAGUUUUUUUGGCAUGUAUAAAUUUUACAUUUAUUAAGGAUUUCACAUCUUCUAAUCCUUUUUGGGAUAGUUUAAGACUUCUUAACAAUGUUGGUUUUACUUUUAUUGGAUUUUCACAUCUUUUAAUGAUAUUAAGGCUUUGUUUGGGAGAGGUAGGAAACUGAAUGGAGAUUGAAAAUGGAUGAAAAAUGAGAAAUUGUGUCCAUAUGUCCAUAUCAAAAGAAGCUAUCAUGUAAGUCAAAAAUUCCAUUUUCCUUCCAAUUACCAUUCCUUUCAUUUUCCUUCUCCCAAAUUGAUCCUUAAUCGCAUUUGGAUUAGGGCUAAGACUUUUUAACAUCUCUAGUUUUAUUUUUUUAUGAAUUUUGACAUUUUUGAACAAUAUUUGAAUUAUGAUUUAAACUUUUUAACAUCUUUAUAUAUGUCUUAUGGGUUAAGACUUUUUAACAUCAUUGGUUUUACUUUUAUUUGGAUUUAACAUCUUCUCGUUAUAUUUUUUUUCUUGGUUUAAGGCUCUUUAACAUUUUUGGUUUCAUUUUGAUUUAAAUUUAGGUUACAUUUGGGGCUUUGAGGAAAAUGGGGGAGAGUAAAAUGGGGAGGAAUAUGAACUUGUACUGUGUCCCAUGUUUCAUUUUCCUUCUAUUUUCUCUUCUUUCAAUUUCCCCUCCCUCUCCUAAAUUUAGCCAUAAAGACUUAUUAACAUAUUUUGAUUUUGUUUUAAUACUGUUUUCCAUUUUCCUCACACUAUUCACUUUCAUUUGGAUUUAAAACUUUUAAUGUUAUGUUUGGGAAGUGGAGGAAACUGGAAAAGGAGAAGUAAAUGGGAGGAAAAUGAGAAAUAAAACCUAUAUGAUAACAAACAAGGUCAUGGGUUCCACUUUCUGUUUUCCUUCUAUUUUCCCUUUCAUCUUUUUUUUCUUCUCUCUCCUACAAAGAGCCUUAACCACUUUUGGAUUAUAUUUUAAAACUUUUUAAACAUCUUUAUUUUUUACUUUUUCGGAUAUAAUAUUUCUAAUCUUAUUUGGAUUAUGGUUGAAGACUUUUUAACAUCUUUAUUUUUAUUCAUAUUUAAAUUUAAAAGGCUGUCAACCAUAUUUGGAUUUUAAGAGUUUUUAUCAUAUUUGGUUUUGCUUUUAUUUGUGUUUAACAUUUAUAGACUUUUUAACAUAUUCAAUUUUCUUUUAUUUGUAUUUUAGAUCUUUUUAUAAUAUUUGAAUUAUGGUUUGAAGUUUUUUUAGUUUAAAUUUUACAUUUAUUAGGAUUUCACAUCUUCUAAUCUUUUUUGGGAUAGUUUAAGACUUCUUAACAAUUUUGGUUUUACUUUUAUUGAAUUUUCACAUCUUUUAAUGAUGUUAAGGCUCUGUUUGGGAGAGGUAGGAAGAUGGAUGGAGAGUGCAAAUAGUUGAAAAAUGAGAAAUAGUGUCCAUAUAUCCGUAUCAAAAAAGCUAUUAUGCAAGUCUCACAUUACAUUUUCUGUUCCCUUCAUUUUCCUUCUACCAAAUUGAUCCUUAACCAUAUUUGGACUAUGGCUAAGACGUUUUAACAUCCCUAGUUUUACUUUUAUAUGAAUUUUGACACCUUAGAACCAUAUUUAGAUUAUGAUUUUUAAACCUUUUAACAUCUUUAAUUUUACUUUUAUUUAGAUUUAAUAACCUUUAGCCAUAUAUGGCUUAUGAUUUAAAACUUUUUAACAUCCUUUGUUUUACCUUUAUUUUCUCACCAUAGUUUUUCUUGAUUUAAGGCUUUUUAAUAUCUUUAGUUUCACUUUGAUUUAAAUUUUGGUUACAUUUGGGGCUUGGAGGAAAAUGGUGGGAGAGUGAAAAUGGGAGAAAAAUGAACUUGUACUAUAUCCUAUAUUUUAUUUUCCUUUUAUUUUCCCUUCUUUCCAUUUCCCCUCUCUUUCCUAAAUUUAGCCAUAAAGACUUUUUAACAUAUUUUGAUUAUGGUUUAACACUGUUUUCCAUUUUCUUGUGCUCUUCACUUUCAUUUAGAUUUAAAAUCUUUAAGGUUAUGUUUGGUAAGAUUUUUUUUUUUUUUUUUUACCUUGACUUGUUUCUGUUUUGGAUGCCGUUUGUUUUUUUCCCAGUAUAUUGGUGCUAAUUUUGGCUUUUUGCCUUCAUUUUUCUGGCAGUUGAGAUCAGUGGGUUUUAAGGUGUGCUGGGUUUUUUACACCAAUUUUUCAUAGUGUAGCUAGCCACUAGCUUUGCUUUUAUUGUGUAUUGAAUAAAUUUUUAUGCUUUAUGUAUUAUUUUUGUACUCUGAGUCUCUGAUUAAAGUUUUGGGUGCGCUUCCUGGCAGCAGUCACCUUUCGGGUAAUGGCUCUACCUUUAAUUGUUUUAUUAGUUUCUUUACUCUUAAAGUUUUCUAGGAAUGUCCCAUGGAAGAUACUCAUUUCAUAUGCAAGUUUAUUAUGGUGUAUUCAAGAUUAAAUACCUCUUGAUUUCUCAUGUAUGUAUAUAUUUGCCCUUCCAUCUCAUUGAGUCCCAUCCCUCGAAGAGAGAUAAUACUAAAAGGGUGAAAGGCUCUGGGUUCUUAUGGUAGUGGGGAGUGGGGACCUUGGGGUACUUCAUACAGUAUUUGGUCCAAUCAAAAGACAAAAUGCUUAAGAUCUGAGAGGAAUGUCAGCAUGGUCAAACCUGGUGUUGCUUAUGCUGUUUUAAAAUCAAAUAAUCCCAGGAAGGUUGUGAUGAAGGAAAACAUAGAAGAUGGCAUAGAAAGGAAGAACAUGAAAGGAGAAGCAAGUAGUUGAGAUUCAAGAAAGCUUAUUAAAUUGUUUUCGAGUAAUUAUAUUGAUCUCAUCGAUUGCUCAUGAUUUUCUGUGCUUUUGUCAUCUGGAUGUUGCUUCUCUGGACUUGAACUUGUUGGCCUGGAACAGUACAUCUUGGUAAAUUGUUGGCCUGGAACAGUACAUCUUGGAGCUUAUGAUGAAGAAAAAUCUGCAGCAAGAGCAUAUGAUUUGGCCGCUCUCAAGUACUAGGAAACUUCAACUUCCACAAAUUUUCCGGUAUCUGAAUAUGAGAAAGAAAUUGAAAUAAUGAAAAUUCUAACAAAAGAGGAGUACCUUGCAGUUGAAAAAGGAGAAGCAGUUGUUUCUCCGGAGGGGCAUCCAGAUAUAUAGGAGUUGCGAGGCACCAUCACAAUGGAAGAUAGGAAGCAAGAAUAGGGGGUGUUUGGAAACAAGUAUCUCUAGUUAGGCAUUUACAGUGAAUUUAACUGCCUUAAGCUAUUGAUUAUAUAUUCUAGGUUGGGGCAUAAAAAUUUACUAAAUAAUUAAAAGAAAUAUAAAAAACUGUUGAAAAGAAAUUAAAAUUUAAUAAUAUAGUAAAAAAAAUUAUAUAUUCAACCCGAUUGCAAAUUCAUCUUUUAUGUGUUUUUCCUACAUGGUAUCUUUAGCAUUCACAAUUUUUCACCUUUUCUUUUUCUGGUUACUGGGUUUCUAUCAUAUCCCACCCUGAAGUUUUUUACCCUGUUCUGGCAAUAGAAGGAAAAAGAAUAUAACAGCUUUUAAGUUGCCAUUGGCAUGAUUAUUGUUUGAAGUGCAUUGUAUUUAUAUGUUUACAAACUGUACUUAUUGAUAUAUUCUAAUCACUAGCCAUUACUUACCCAAUUAGGAACAUGGAUUUCAUGAAAUAAUUCUAUCCUAUUGACCUGCUAUUAUUACCUCAGAUAAGAAAUCAAAGGAUAAGCAUAGUGGCAAACAUCAAAAAGGUGAUCAUGGCAAGCUAGAGUGGUGACUGAUAAGGCGUCAGGAAGCUAAGUGGGUUGGUUUUGUCAGAUAUGGUAGCUUAGAAGAGGCUGCUAAAUAUAUAAAAGGCAUAACUCUGUCAAUUAUGAGUUGCUCUAUUUAUUGUACAUUCUGUUGGUUUUAAAGAUACUAAAAAAUUCAAUUUAUAAAUAAAAGCCAAAAAUAAGUGAGCUGCAGGAACGCGCGGGCCAACCUCUAGUACAUUUAUGGUAAUGUCAGGUUCAAAUUGGAGGAUGAAUUCUCCUCAAGAAGGAGGAGAUGAUGAGGACAUCAUAGUGGAUCUAGAGGCACCUCAAUUCAAGGGAGCCAUUAUAAGAUCAAGAGCUAAGGCAAUCCAAGCCAUGGUGUUGGAGCAUUCAACCAUGGAGGUCCCAACUCAAGGGGAAAGCUUGAUCAUCAUGCAAAUUCACCUCCAAGAAGUUUCAAGAGCAUCUGAGGGCAUUGGAAACCAUUUUGGAGAUUGCCAAGUGGGUUGCCACGUGGUAGCCACAUAGGUGUUGACAUGGCGGACCAAGGGUGAUGUGGCAGCCGCAUGGGAUGGUGAUUUGGCAAGGGGAGGCACUUGGGCAGAUGCUUAACAAUCACUUCUAGCACAUACUUUACUCAUUUGGCAAGAGAGGGGUGGAGGAAGACAUUAUCCAACUUUUGGCAAAUAAAGGAAAAAUACUUUAACCAUUUCUGGCCAAAUCACUUGAUGGAGAAUUGAUGUGAUUGACUUCAGAAUACAGGAUUUCCUUUUGUGGAUUAUUAAUUUAAACAUUUAUGGUAUGUAACUAAGUAUUAAUCAGACUAUGCAUAGACCAUUAGGCUUUGUUGUGCUUUGGCUGAAUGGGUUAUUUAUCACUCAUCUUCUUCUUUUUUUGUUUCAGACUUAGAAUUCAGAUUUUAGAGAGAAGAAGAACACCAUUGCUGGUGCUUGUAGGCUUUGGCCAAACUCAUUUUGGUGAGGUAUUUUAUGUUCUUUGCUAAGUUCCACAAAGAACUUAGAUUAAUUGCAAGCUGAUCACUUGUAAUUUCUGAGGCUUAUACUUGAGAAACUCAAGCACAAAUUGCUUUUGUGUUUCAAGUGCCAUGGACUCCUGUAACUUGUUUGGUUGAGUAAUAUAUUCAAGUUUUCUUUUCAUCAAA